rnacentral:rRNA from 1 species
AUACGUAGGGGGCGAGCGUUGUCCGGAAUGAUUGGGCGUAAAGGGCGCGUAGGCGGCCCGGUAAGUCUGGAGUGAAAGUCCUGUUUUUAAGAUGGGAAUUGCUUUGGAUACUGUCGGGCUUGAGUGCAGGAGAGGUAAGUGGAAUUCCCAGUGUAGCGGUGAAAUGCGUAGAGAUUGGGAGGAACACCAGUGGCGAAGGCGACGUACUGGACUGUAACUGACGCUGAGGCGCGAAAGUGUGGGGAGCAAACAGGAUUAGAUACCCUGGUAGUCCACACUGUAAACGAUGAAUGCUAGGUGUAGGGGGUAGCGACCCCUUCUGUGCCGCAGUCAACACAAUAAGCAUUCCGCCUGGGGAGUACGGCCGCAAGGUUGAAACUCAAAUGAAUUGACGGGG